AUUGAACGCUGGCGGCAGGCUUAACACAUGCAAGUCGAACGAGUGGCGGACGGGUGAGUAAUGCUUGGGAAUCUGGCUUAUGGAGGGGGAUAACUCCGGGAAACUGUAGCUAAUACCGCGUACCAUAGGAUGAGCCCAAGUGGGAUUAGGUAGUUGGUGUGGUAAAGGCUCACCAAGCCGACGAUCCCUAGCUGGUCUGAGAGGAUGACCAGCCACACUGGGACGGAGACACGGCCCAGACUCCGACGGGAGGCAGCAGUGGGGAAUAUUGCGCAAUGGGGGCAACCUGACGCAGCCAUGCCGCGUGAAUGAAGAAGGCCUUCGGGUUGUAAAGUGCUUUCGGUAGCGAGGCGUUAACUACAGAAGAAGCACCGGCUAACUCCGUGCCAGCAGCCGCGGUAAUAC
rnacentral:rRNA from 1 species